AGUGAACGCUGGCGGCGUGCCUAACACAUGCAAGUCGAACGAAGUGGCGAACGGGUGAGUAAUACGUGAGUAACCUGCCCUCCUUUUUGGGAUAAGCCUUGGAAACGGGGUCUAAUACCGAAUAAAGGGGGAUGGGCUCGCGGGCUAUCAGCUUGUUGGGGGGGUGAGGGCCUACCAAGGGGGUGACGGGUAGCCGGCCUGAGAGGGUGACCGGGACAUUGGGGACUGUGUUACGGCCCGGCGUCGUACGGUAGUGAGGAUUGGGGGAUAUUGCACAAGGGGCGGAAGCCUGAUGCAGCGACGCCGCGUGGGGGCUGUAGGGUUUCGUGGUGUAUGCCUCUGUCGCGAUCGAACGGGUAGGUGGAGAAGAAGCGCCGGCUAACUACGUGCCAGCAGCCGCGGUAAUUC
rnacentral:rRNA from 1 species